AGUAGAUGAGAUCAAUGACUCCUUCCUUCGUGAGAUCCCUUGAGAAGUGAAACUUCACAUCUAUAUGUUUGCUUCUUCCAUGUAAAACAGGAUUUUUGGAGAGCUUUAUUGCUGAACUAUUGUCACAAUAAAUUGCAGUAGGUCCUUGACUCUUGAAAUGAAGUUCUUCAAGAAUUUUCCUCAACCAAAUAGCUUGACAAGCACAUGAAGUUGCAGCAACAAAUUCAGCUUCAGUGGUUGAUAAAGUGACAAUUGGCUGCUUCUUUGAUGACCAUGAAAUAGCUCCUGAACCCAACAUAAAUACAUAUCCGGAAGUGCUCUUUCUAUCAUCUUGAUCUCCAGCAUAAUCACUAUCAGUGAAGCCCAUCAAGCUUGAGUUUUCUCCCUUCUUGUAGAGCAGUCCAAAACCAGUCGUACCUUGCAAGCCUUCUUCUAACACGUCGAGGUCGUUGUUCAUCUACUGUUUCAGAGGCUGAAAUGCAUUCAUUGAUUGUUGGUUGUUGCUCAUUUUCUACGGAUUGUGCAUUCUCCAAAGGCUGCUGCAUUUUUUCUCCAUUUUCUCCAUCAAAAUCAGCUUGUAUUUGUUGUUCAACAUUGUUUUCAUCCCAAAUCCAGAACCGCUCUUCAUCAAAAAUCACGUCACGACUGAUGACAGUUUUCUUGGUGAUAGGAUUGUACAAUUUGUACGCUUUUGACUGCUCACUAACACCAAGAAAAAUGCAUUUUUCACUUUUGUCAUCAAGCUUGCUCCUCUUCUGAUCUGGAAUGUGGGCAAAUGCUAUGCAACCGAAGAUUCUGAAAUGCUCGACACUUGGUCUGCGUCCACUCCAAGCUUCUUCAGGCGUCAGGUUUUGAACAGCAAGUGUGGGGCUUCUGUUCAAUACAUGAAUGCUCCAAUUGACA